AUUGAACGCUGGCGGCAUGCUUUACACAUGCAAGUCGAACGGUAACAGGCCGCAAGGUGCUGACGAGUGGCGAACGGGUGAGUAAUGCAUCGGAACGUGCCCAGUCGUGGGGGAUAACGCAGCGAAAGCUGCGCUAAUACCGCAUACGAUCUCUGGAUGAAAGCGGGGGACCGAAAGGCCUCGCGCGAUUGGAGCGGCCGAUGUCAGAUUAGGUAGUUGGUGGGGUAAAGGCCCACCAAGCCAACGAUCUGUAGCUGGUCUGAGAGGACGACCAGCCACACUGGGACUGAGACACGGCCCAGACUCCUACGGGAGGCAGCAGUGGGGAAUUUUGGACAAUGGGCGCAAGCCUUAUUCAGCAAUGCCGUGUGCAGGAAGAAGGCCUUCGGGUUGUAAACUGCAUUUGUACGGAACGAAACGGUCCGGGUUAAUACCCUGGGCUAAUGACGGUACCGUAAGAAUAAGCACCGGCUAACUACGUGCCAGCCGCCGCCGUAAAAC
rnacentral:rRNA from 1 species